rnacentral:sRNA from 1 species
CCACCUCGACUUGUGCCGGGUUAAUAAAAUGAACAUGGGUGUCAAUUCCGCCUGCGGUUACAAUCAUCCCUUCACCAGCGAUAAUUUCAGUUGAAGCCCCAAUGACAAUAUCGACCCCAUCCUGUACUAAUGGAUUUCCCGCUUUGCCAAUGGCAGCUAUUUUACCGUCACGAAGCGCAAUAUCUGCCUUGUAAAUUCCUGUAUAAUCUAAAAUGACCGCAUUCGUAAUAACAGUGUCAGGAAUGCCAUCACCACGAGUGACGAGAGGAUGUUGUCCCAUUCCAUCACGAAUAA